AUAACGUCCUGCCAAACUCAUCCC
rnacentral:siRNA from 1 species